UUGCCUGGCUAAUUUAAGUCUAAUCUGCCCAUGAAAAUUUUAAUGGCUGCAGUAAUUUGACUGUACAAAGGUAGCAUAAUAAUUAGUUUUUUAAUUGAAAGCUAGAAUGAAUGAUUGGACGAGAGAGUAGCUGUUUCAAAUUAAUAUAACUAAAAUUUUAUAUUUAAGUUAAAAAGCUUAAAUAUAUUUAAAAGACGAGAAGACCCUGUAGAGUUUGAUAUAUUAUUAAAUUUAAAAUUUUUAAUAUAUUUAGUUUUUGAUUAUUAAAAUAUAUUUUAUUGGGGUAAUGUGAAAAUUUAAGAAACUUUUUUAUUAUAUUAACAAAAAUUUUUGUUUCAAUGAUCUUUAAUUAAGAAUUAUUAGAUUAAAUUACCUUAGGGAUAACAGCGUAAUUAUUUUGUAGAGUUCAUAUCGAUAAAAUAGAUUGCGACCUCGAUGUUGGAUUAAGAUAAAACUUUAGUGGAGAAAUUAAAGAUAUUAAGUCUGUUCGACUUUUUAAAUCUUAUAUGAUC
rnacentral:rRNA from 1 species